rnacentral:rRNA from 1 species
UACGAAGGGGGCUAGCGUUGCUCGGAUUGACUGGGCGUAAAGGGCGCGUAGGCGGUUCGUACAGUCAGACGUGAAAUUCCUGGGCUCAACCUGGGGGCUGCGUUUGAUACGUGCGGACUUGAGUGCGGAAGAGGGUCGUGGAAUUCCCAGUGUAGAGGUGAAAUUCGUAGAUAUUGGGAAGAACACCGGUGGCGAAGGCGGCGACCUGGUCCGAUACUGACGCUGAGGCGCGACAGCGUGGGGAGCAAACAGG